UCUGGAGCAACGAGAGGUAGAAUGGCUCUUUAAUGCUGACAUUGUCCUUGACUAUACCAUACCUUCAUUUCUUUCUCUCUUAUAACAUCUCACUAGCUAUGAUCCUGGUUUUACUUUCUGAUGUUUUAUAUCUUGAUUUUACUUUAUGACGUUUCAUUAUCUGUGUCUUCAAGCUCUGCUGUCAUCACACUAAGUCAAGCUUCGGUCUAACGUCAGACAAUAUUCCCGGAAUCCCUGAUGGCCUUUGUUAAUCCAUGUUAAAAUUCUCUGAAAGCAAGUCUCACUAUUGCACUCUUUAAGUUAAAGUGCUUGUAAGCAGAGAAUAACAGACUGCAGAAUGCUCACCCCUAAAUGGGACCUCUAUAUCACGUCCCCUUUUCAAGUCUCAGUAAUCAUUGUACAAGGGGUGGAAAGAUGUAAGAGUCAGGGGUGGUGGAUGAAUACAGGAAAAUAGUGUCUUCUGCACAUACCAGGGGAAGCUGCAUGUCUGAAUUCACAGAUAUCUUGUUACCAUGCAUAAACCUGUGUAAGCUCGAGCCAGACUGUAUCCCAGCAUGCAAAAAGGAAGGGGGUAUGAGCCCCCAGUCCUAGUGAAAGAGCUGUUGGCAAUAGACAGCUGCUGGGAGGGGAGAACCCACUCUUUUUAUUUAUUUAUUUGUUUGUUUGUUUGUUUCUUUCUUUCUUUAAGACAAGAUUUCUCUGUGUAGCCCUGCUGUCCUGGAACUCACUCUGUAGACCCGGAAGGCUGGCAAUGAAUUCAGAGUUUGCCUGCCUUUGCCUGGAUUAAAGGGUUCCUGUCUGUAGUCCUAGAACUUUCUCUGUAGACCAGGCUAGCCUUGAACCCAGAGGUUUGUCUGCAUCUGCCUCCAGUGCUGGGAUUAAAUGUGUGCUCUACCAUGGCCCACAGCUGUGGUCACCUGCAAGAGACCUGUACAAGACCGGUAAAAGAGCAAGCCAGUGAACCUUCCAGCAUGGAUGGACGAGGCUCCUUUCCAGUUGAAGAGCUAUUAGAAGUUGAUACCUGCCAAGGAAUUGUCAAUUUUCUUGCAGGUGCAUACUAUGCACAUGUGGGUAGGACCAAUUGGACUCUGAAUCACAAAAAUGUGUGGGAUACGAUGGGGCUUUAGAGGACAGAUGUUGAUAUGAGGGUGGAUAUGACCCAUAUUCAUUGGUACAUAUAUGAAAGUAUAAAAUAAAAAUAAAAAACUG